UUCAGUGGUACAGUCGAUCCCAGUGAAGAAGGCAUGGUGCAGGAGAGUGGGGUAGCUUUCCUAGGGCCUGAGGCUCUCAGCAGGCUGUACAGGGAGAAAAGACAUUAUUGGAUGUGAUCAACACUGGACCCUGAAUGCUGCAAUGUGGACCAGCCCGGCAAGAUGUACCCACUGGUGCAAUAGCGGGAUGGCUGUUGUGAGGAGUGGUGACAUCUAAGUUCAUCACACAACAGAUUGGAAACUAGAAGUGUCUCAUUGCUUCUACAUGUGUUUGUCCAGGAUGAAGAAGCAGGUGUGAGUCUUGCCUGGUUGACAGCUUCCUCAGACCCCAGAGAACAAACGCAGCCCCCCUUGACAGAAUCCUGGAAAUCUGCAGAGUCCACACACACCAAUGGCUACUGCAGCCUUCAGUGAAUGCUACUGAGCACCUCAUGUGAGCUGUGAGCAGGGGAGACUGUGGCUCCUUGAAACAGCAACAUCUUCUAUUUGCAAGCUGCAGAUUCGAUUCUCUUACAGUUAAUAGAGGUCACAGGAACGAGGAGUGACCUGGGACAGGAGCUUUCUGGUUUCCAGUUUCUGUCCCAGAGCUGAUCCUGUGCCAUAGAGCUACAUACACAAAUACCGCCAGGAAAGAGCUAGUUUCCCAGGAGUGCCUAAACACCUGCAACCACAGAUGCAGCAUGGCCAGCCAGCCUCUUAUUCCUGCAGCAAUGAUGUCCUCACCAUGAUGGACCCUGCAUCUUUGAACCACAAACAAAAAGCUUCCUUGCUUCCUUGAGUUUGCCUUUGUCAGAGAUUUUUGUCACAGCAACAAGAAAAGCCACUGAUUCUCAUAGUGGCAAUGUCAGCAGCACCAAGUGUGACCCCUGAGAGCAAACAUCAGGAACAGAAACCCUCCAAAGAUCUGAGUGCAGAUAUUGGUCCCGAGAAGAAAGAAGCUUUAAGAGGAGAGAGUGGUGGAGGUGACUGGUGCCUGGCUCUCUGCCAAGAAGCUGUUCACAGAUCACGUCACAUGGACACACCAGGCCAAGUGUGAACAUGCA